UAUAAGAUGACAGUCUAUAUUUACAUAGAUUUGUAUUCAAAUUUUAUGUUUUCUUAGAGUUAAGGAUAGAUAUGGGAUGCACCCUAUACAUGUAGUCAACUUAUAUGUUAACCAAGCAUUGAACAUCAAUUUAUAUAGUAUUAAUGAUAAUAGAGUUAAAGACUUAAAUUCAGCUUAGUAUGUUUUCUUAUUUUAGUUAAUUCUUUUUCUUUUAGAAAAGCUUUUUCUAUACUAACAGUGGUGGGUGCUUUCAGUAUCUAAAUCACUAUCAGCAGAAGUACAUAAUUCAAGGUUCACCCCAUUAUGUACAAGAACAAAUAUAGUGGAGGUCAUAGUUCUCUAUGAAUUUUAACAGCAAAGCUGCAAAGGCUUCUUGAUAGUGCAAUAUGAAGACAAGAUCCAUGGAUGUGAAGAAUUCCACUAAGAAAACUAUUAGAAGGAAUCACGAAUAAGUGCAUGUGAAGUUGGUGAUCGUGCCAUUACAAUGUUAGAUGAUCUUAAUCAUAGGAAAAGGUUCUUUUUCUCUGGUGUGUGUUAUUAUCUAUGACUAUUAACAAGUUUUAUGGUCAAACAUAUGGGACUAUACUUGCCAUAGCAUUUUUUA